rnacentral:misc_RNA from 1 species
UCUUCUUCCUUUAGAUGCU